GGUGAAAGCCCCGUAUACGAAGGUUUGAUGAGGAACUAGGCACGCGAACAAGUAGGCCGGGACACGUGAAAUCCUGGUUGAAGAUGGGUGGACCAUCAUCCAAGGCUAAAUACUACUUACUGACCGAUAGUGAACCAGUACCGUGAGGGAAAGGUGAAAAGAACCCCGGAGAGGGGAGUGAAAUAGAAUCUGAAACCGUUUGCGUACAAGCAGUGGGAGCAUGGUUUAGGCUGUGUGACUGCGUACCUUUUGUAUAAUGGGUCAGCGAGUUACUUUCAGUGGCGAGGUUAACUGAAUAAGGGAGCCGUAGAGAAAUCGAGUCUGAAUAGGGCGAUAGUCGCUGGGAGUAGACCCGAAACCGGGCGAUCUAGCCAUGUGCAGGAUGAAGGUUGGGUAACACCAACUGGAGGUCCGAACCGGGUAAUGUUGAAAAAUUAUCGGAUGACGUGUGGCUAGGAGUGAAAGGCUAAUCAAGCCCGGAGAUAGCUGGUUCUCCCCGAAAGCUAUUUAGGUAGCGCCUCGUGAAUGAUUACUGGGGGUAGAGCACUGUUUCGGCUAGGGGGCUGUCAUGGCUUACCAAACCGAUGCAAACUCCGAAUACCGGCUAAUUGAAUCACGGGAGACACACGGCGGGUGCUAACGUCCGUCGUGGAGAGG
rnacentral:rRNA from 1 species